GAGAAGUAUUGCCCUUCGGGGUAUACCUCCCACCCUUUGUUUAUAUUACCUGUGUUGCUUUGGCAGACCUGCCCUCGGGCUCCUGGCUUUGGCUAGGUCGUGUCUGCCAGAGGCAUAUCAAACUCUGAUUGUAUUUAUUGUCUGAGUAAUAACUUAAUAGUUAAAACUUUCAACAACGGAUCUCUUGGUUCU
rnacentral:misc_RNA from 1 species